GGACGAACGCUGGCGGCGUAGCUUAAUACAUGCAAGUCAACGACUUUAAGAUAGCAAUAUUUUAAGGGGAGUGGCGCACGGGUGAGUAACACGUAGGCAAUCUACCUUUAGGACUGACACAACUCGUCGAAAGACGGGCUAAUAUCAGAUAAUGCAGCGGCUCCGCAUGGAGACAGUUGUUAAAGUACAAGCGCCUGAAGAUGAGCCUGCGGUCCAUUAGCUAGUUGGUAGAGUAACGGCCUACCAAGGCAACGAUGGAUAGCUGGUCUGAGAGGAUGAUCAGCCACACUGGAACUGAGACACGGUCCAGACUCCUACGGGAGGCAGCAGUAAGGAUAUUGCUCAAUGGCCGAAAGGCUGAAGCAGCAACGCCGCGUGAAGGAUGAAUGGCCUUUGGCCUGUAAACUUCUGUAAAAGAGGAAAAUAGUUAGGUAUAUCCUAAUGUGAUCGUACUCUUGAAGUAAGCCCCGGCUAACUACGUG
rnacentral:rRNA from 1 species